GGUCCAGGCCUGGACCUGGGAGAAGGCCCUGAGGAGACGCGCGCGUGCGGCCAACAGGGAGGGGUGGGAAGGGGAGCGUGCGCGGGGCGGAGGCUGCUCGCGUGAGGCGUGGACCCUGGAAUGUGCGUGUGCGCGGCCCUCGAGCACCGCCCGCGCAGCGCCGAUUGGCCGGGGGCGCGCGGCGGGGGAAGCCCUUGGCUAAUCUCCUGCCACUCAGCCCGGUCUACGUCGGCGCCGGGGCCUCAGCGCGGCUCGCGGAAGGACAAAUAGUUCCCGCGGCGGCGCCGCGCGCCCCUCCUCGGCUUCGCUCACCCCGCCCGGGAGGCCCCGGCAGGCGGGGGAGGGGUGGCCUCUGCGACUGCUCGACCCCCUCUCCCCUCUUCGCGGCCUGAUGAGUGGAUUGCGCUCCCUUGGGAAAAGUAAUUGGAUUCCCGACUCCCUGCAGCCGGGAUCAGCGGAAAUCGGAGGCUGAGCCUGCAGGCCGCGAUAGAAAGCUGGGUGGUAAAGAAGGAUCAACGGAGAUUACCCCGGUAUCCUUUUCCACCUGGCAUGUGACUUUUGCUCCUCCAUGGUGUCAGCAUUCUGAAAUUCACCUGGUUGCUGAUCUCCGGGAAGAGAAGUAAUUUGGAACGUUUGAGUCUUUGAGCCACCACCACCUCGUUUUUCUCUCAGAGCUCUACUUGGAGCUCAGGCGGAGAAAGAACAUCGCCAAAUCUGGGAUUGGAGAUACUUCUUGUUAACGGGGUAACUCGGGAGAAUAUGCCAUUCUCACCAGAAUCAUCCAGGAAAGAAUCUUAGGUCCUUGUCUUAGCGGUAGUGAACUUCCCUAAAUUCUCUCCUUAGGAGAGAUGAUGCCGAAGAGGGAGCCUUAAGCAGAGUUUUUGGCUAAAAUGAUAGGAAUGUGCUAGGAAUUUAAGUGACUAAUUCAUCCUCCUUGUGAUUUUUUUUCCCAUCUACUUUACUGUAUUUCACUCAUUCAUUCAUCAAACACGCUUUUAUUGGGGGCUUUCCAUGUGCCAUGCUCUGUUGUACUUACCAGGGAUACAGCACUGAAUAAAACAAGUCCCGAACUCA